AUUGAACGCUGGCGGCAGGCCUAACACAUGCAAGUCGAGCGGAGCGGCGGACGGGUGAGUAAGAACUAGGAAUAUGCCUGGUCGCGGGGGAUGACGAUCGGAAAAGGACGCUAAUACCGCAUACUCUCAGAUGAGACUAGGUCGGAUUGGCUAGUUGGUGAGGUAAUGGCUAACCAAGGCUACGAACCGUAACUGGUCUGAGAGGAUGAUCAGUCAAACUGGAACUGAGACACGGUCCAGACUCCUACGGGAGGCAUCAGUGGGGAAUAUUGGACAAUGGGCGAAAGCCUGAUCCAGCCAUGCCGCGUGUGUGAAGAAGGUCUUCGGAUUGUAAAGCACUUUAAGUUGGGAGGCGUUACCGACAGAAUAAGCACCGGCUAACUCUGUGCCAGCAGCCGCGGUAAUUC
rnacentral:rRNA from 1 species